UUAAAUUGAAGAGUUUGAUCAUGGCUCAGAUUGAACGCUGGCGGCAGGCCUAACACAUGCAAGUCGAACGGUAACAGGAAGAAGCUUGCUUCUUUGCUGACGAGUGGCGGACGGGUGAGUAAUGUCUGGGAAACUGCCUGAUGGAGGGGGAUAACUACUGGAAACGGUAGCUAAUACCGCAUAACGUCGCAAGACCAAAGAGGGGGACCUUCGGGCCUCUUGCCAUCGGAUGUGCCCAGAUGGGAUUAGCUA
rnacentral:rRNA from 1 species